GACGAACGCUGGCGGCGUGCCUAAUACAUGCAAGUUGAGCGCUGAAGGUUGGUACUUGUACCAACUGGAUGAGCAGCGAACGGGUGAGUAACGCGUGGGGAAUCUGCCUUUGAGCAGGGGACAACAUUUGGAAACGAAUGCUAAUACCGCAUAAAAACUUUAAACACAAGUUUUAAGUUUGAAAGAUGCAAUUGCAUCACUCAAAGAUGAUCCCGCGUUGUAUUAGCUAGUUGGUGAGGUAAAGGCUCACCAAGGCGAUGAUACAUAGCCGACCUGAGAGGGCGAUCGGCCACAUUGGGACUGAGACACGGCCCAAACUCCUACGGGAGGCAGCAGUAGGGAAUCUUCGGCAAUGGACGAAAGUCUGACCGAGCAACGCCGCGUGAGUGAAGAAGGUUUUCGGAUCGUAAAACUCUGUUGGUAGAGAAGAACGUUGGUGAGAGUGGAAAGCUCAUCAAGUGACGGUAACUACCCAGAAAGGGACGGCUAACUACGUG
rnacentral:rRNA from 1 species